rnacentral:rRNA from 1 species
UACGUAGGGGGCUAGCGUUGUCCGGAAUCAUUGGGCGUAAAGCGCGUGUAGGCGGUUCGGUAAGUCCGCUGUGAAAGUCGGGGGGCUCAACCCUCGGAAGCCGGUGGAUACUGUCGGGCUAGAGUACGGAAGAGGCGAGUGGAAUUCCUGGUGUAGCGGUGAAAUGCGCAGAUAUCAGGAGGAACACCAAUUGCGAAGGCAGCUCGCUGGGACGUUACUGACGCUGAGACGCGAAAGCGUGGGGAGCAAACAGG